rnacentral:rRNA from 1 species
AUACGGAGGGGGUUAGCGUUGUUCGGAAUUACUGGGCGUAAAGCGUACGUAGGCGGAUCAGAAAGUAUAGGGUGAAAUCCCAGGGCUCAACCCUGGAACUGCCUUAUAAACUCCUGGUCUUGAGUUCGAGAGAGGUGAGUGGAAUUCCAAGUGUAGAGGUGAAAUUCGUAGAUAUUUGGAGGAACACCAGUGGCGAAGGCGGCUCACUGGCUCGAUACUGACGCUGAGGUACGAAAGUGUGGGGAGCAAACAGGAUUAGAAACCCCGGUAGUCC